rnacentral:rRNA from 1 species
AUGGCUCAGAACGAACGCUGGCGGCAGGUCUUAGGCAUGCAAGUCGAACGGACGACAGAGUGGCUUGCCAUUCUGAAGUUAGUGGCGCACGAGUGAGUAACGCGUGGGAAACUGCCCUUCACUGGGGAAUAACGUUUGGAAACGAACGCUAAUACCGCAUACGCCCGCAAGGGGAAAGAUUUAUCGGUGAUGGAUGUGCCCGCGUUGGAUUAGCCAGUUGGUGGGGUAACGGCCUACCAAAGCAAUGAUCCAUAGCUGGUCUGAGAGGACGAUCAGCCACGCUGGAACUGAGACACGGUCCAGACUCCUACGGGAGGCAGCAGCUAAGAAUAUUGGGCAAUGGAGGAAACUCUGACCCAGCCCAUGCCGCGUGAAUGAAGAAGGCCUUCGGGUUGUAAAGUUCUUUUAGUCAUGAAGAUGAUGACGGUAGUGACAGAAAAAGCACCGGCUAACUUCGUGCCAGCAGCCGC